rnacentral:rRNA from 1 species
CGCAUCUGUGCAUGCAGCAUAUCAAUAAGCGGAGGAAAAGAAACUAACAAGGAUUCCCCUAGUAACGGCGAGUGAAGCGGGAAGAGCUCAAAUUUGAAAUCUUAAAGGGUUUCCCUUUACGAAUUGUAGUUUAAAGAAGUGUUUUCUGUUGAGGUUUUGGUAAAAGUUCUUUGGAAUAGGACAUCAUAGAGGGUGAGAAUCCCGUAUUUGACCUUUACUUUCAACUUUGUGAUACACUUUCAAAGAGUCGGAUUGUUUGGGAAUGCAGUCCAAAAUGGGUGGUAAAUUUCAUCUAAAGCUAAAUAUUGGCGAGAGACCGAUAGCGAACAAGUACCGUGAGGGAAAGAUGAAAAGAACUUUGAAAAGAGAGUUAAACAGUACGUGAAAUUGUCAAAAGGGAAGCGUUUGACACCAGUGUUGUUUUUCUGAAAAUCAAUUAAAGAACUGUUUAUGCUAAGUUGUUUAGACUUUAUCAGCUAACUGUUUAGUUUUGAGCUUUUCUUUAAUGCACUUUUCCAGUUAACAAGUCAACAUCAAUUUCUUUUGCUGUAAAAAAGCUUGAGGAAGGUGGCUUGAGAUUCGUCUUAAGUGUUUAUAGCCUCUUGCCUAUGCAGUCGGAGAGAUUGAGGUCUGCAGCGUAGAUCCUUCGGGGCUAAAUAGCAUUUGUGCUAAGUUAUAGCAUUUUAUAGACAACUUGUUGACUAUGAUUUGUCUUGUAGCUUACUCGCUUAUGUUAUUUUACCUACGCUUAGGAUGUUGAAGAUGUAGCACAUCAU